AGGGGUGUUGGCAGGAUUUUCCACCCUUCCUUCCUCCCUCCUCUCUUUAUUCCCCUCUCCUUUCUUUUCUUACUCAAUCUUAACUGAAGCUGAUAACUGUUAGGAUAUUGACCCUGUGUACCCAAGUCCAGGAACUCCUACUCUGACUCAUAUGAUGUCAUUCCCUAUAGUGCUUACAUCUUUGUCAUCCUCACCAAGCGGGUCCUUCUCCGGAAAGCAUUUUGGUGUCACCAUUUUCAAGACCCCGGCAGAGAUUGAUGGCUUCCAGUAGGCUGAUCCAUCAUCCGAGGCAGCUGGCACCCUAUCGGAAUUUCAGGAAUCUGUUCCCAAUCACAUUCACUGUUGGGUGACUCAGUAACGACCCUAUUUGCGGCAGUGACUGAGUCACCUGUAACGUCUAGCACCAAGAAUGAUACUUAGCAUGUAAUCACUGCUGAAUAAAGAGCUGUGGAUGAAUGAAUUAGCAAGUGAAUGGGUACCUGAAUUAGAUGCAUGGAAAAGCCAUAAGGGAGGCAACUGUAUUUUUCUGUUGUGUGGAAGCUGCCUGUAGCAUUCAUUUGCUUGGAAGUCUGUGUGUGGGGUGUAGGUGUGUGUGUGUGUGUGUGUGCAUGCGCUCUAACUUUCCUUUAUCCAGCUUUCCCACCUGCAUCAAUAAUUCUAUCUGGUGACAUCACUUCUCUGGAAGGCUUUAACUGUCUCAUCUCCUGCUUGGGAUAAUCAUCUGAGCUGACAGUUUCACUGUUUCUACAAAUUGGGGUUCCCCAGUUUCCUUUUUAUUUGACAAUCUGGUUAUGCCUGUAUUCCAAGUCAUAUUUAUUCCAGCAUCCUCUCAUGCCUUCAUUAUUCAAGCAUUUAUUAGCACAUAUGGUGUUUCAGGAACUACGCCAGGCACUUGGAAGAUCAAGUCUAAGAAAUGUUUCCUUUCCUGAAGUUGCUCAGCCUGUAGAGGUCUGGAGGUAGGCAAUAAAACAUGUAAAGGGAUAACUUUAAAUAAAUCAUGAUUAGAAAUACAAUGGAUAAACUGAACAACACAUGAGGUGGAUUAUAUGGGUGGAUAGAGCAAUUUGGGAUGACUUUUUACUAAAUAUAACAUCACAGCUGAGCCUGGGUAUCCAAUGAGAAGGGACAUUUAUGAUGCAGAAGAGUAAUGGAGUAUGUCAGACAAGAAAACCACGUUUACAGAACCAAGAAGAUGGAAAAGAGGAAGACAGGCUUGAGAAAUGAAGCUAGUUAUGUUGGGCAAAGAUUGACAGGUGGGGGAAGAAAAUAAGGUGAAAAGAGUAGAUCAACCCUCAUGCAUAAAGAGUCAUAUUUUCAUUCACAAGAUUUUAGGAUUAAACUUGCAGACAAUAGAAAGCCUUCAGCCAUUUUAGCUUUCUCCGUUACUCUAUAAGAUGUGUACAAACAAAUGUGCAGCAAAAUGAGAACAUGCCUGGUACAACUCUUAAACCAAAAAUCAGGACACAGGCAGCACCCACAGCCCCCAGCAUAUGCCCAUUUGCAGUUGAGACAUGAGACAGCCACAGUUACCACGAUCUUAUUUUGAAUAGCACAGAUUAACUUUCUCAGUUCUGUACUCCAUGUAAGCGGGAUUAUAUAGUGUGUACUAUGUUGAUUAGAUUCAUAAUAUUGUUCUGUAUAGCGGUAGGUCACUUCUUUUUCUUGCUGCUCAGUAUUUGAUUAUGGAAAUAUACCACAACUUUAAAAUGUAUUCUAAUUUCACUGUGUAUUUUAUGUCAUUACCAUUUUGGAAUUAUGACAAAUAGUGCUGCCAGAAACAUGCUAUUAAGUGUCUUUUGGUGAAUAUAUGUACACAUUUUAGUAAAGUAUAUGUCCAAGGGUAGAGCUUCACUAAAUUAUACCAAAUUUGUUGUCUAAGUAUGGUUGUUCUCAUAUGUUUUGUAGUCAUAGAAUAGGUUUCUGGUUAUUCUACAUACUCAACACAUGCACCAUUCUUUAUUCAAUUAAUGAUCAUGUUUUCCAUUAGAAUCUAAGUUUUGUGAGGGUUAAGAUCACAGGAGCCUUUUUGUAUCUUUGCAUCUUUGGGGCUAGCAUCAUGUUUGCCACAUGAUGGGAGAUACAUGCACGCACACACACACACAUCACCUCCCUAAACAAAUGCACAAAUGUCUGCAUUCUUUUCCAUGUCAUAUUUACUCCAGCAUCUUCUACGUAUUUAUUAUUCAAGCUCUUAUUUGCACAUACGAUUUGUCAGGAACGAUGCCGGGCGCUUGAACGAUAAAGAAGCCUAAGAGGAGACGUCUUCCCUGUGGUUGCUUUCUCAUCUAGAACAUAGACAUUUGUUCCUGGUAGAUAUAGAUUAUAUUUGCUUCAGAUUCUUCUGAUUAGACAGAAGCAGUAUCAUAUUCUAUAUUCUUAACUAUUAAAUCUGUUAUUGAGGAUGAAAAUGGAUAAUUACAGGUGAUAUUACAAAUUAAUUUCUAUGUUCUGCCAAAAUACUCAGCAAAUUUGGUAAUUCAAUCCAAAAAGUAAUUAACAGAAUGAGGAAGACAAUUUUUAAAAUUCCAAUAACCCUACUGUAGCUAAGGGGCUUAGUGGGAUGAAGGGUGGUUUAGAAAAAAAGAUCCCAUUCAGGAGACUGUUGUCCAUGUCCACCUCCUUUAGAGAUGUUUCUGAAUUGCCUUAAAUAGAGCCUAUGUCUGCUUUUGAGAAUUAGUGGCAGGAAAAAAUGUCAGAGGAAAAACAUAUAAGUAAUACAGCUCAGUGCUUUCACAGGAUCUUAUCCCAACUCCGCAUUCACAAUCAUCAAUUAAAGAGCUGGCUCUCUUUCCACUGAUUAAUUUCCACUUGGCCAUUGUUAAUAACAAGGCUGGAGAAAUGUAUUUACACAGGGCAAACUGGAAUGAAAAACACACCAGACAUGCAUAAGUCAUCAUUUAAACAGCAUCAAAAGUGAGAGGGUGGCUAUAUUAAGCCCAAGCCCUCUGGCUUCCUCCCUGAAGCUUGCUUGCCCAUGGAGAAACCCAAUCAUAUUAUAUUCAUGGUAAUGAAUGAUGAUGACACAGGUACAGACUUGGAAUUAAAAGCAGCUUAGUGAUAUAUCAGUUUAUGCCUUACCGUUCUUUAGAUAGGAUUAUUUAUUGCCGAGGAAAAAAAUCACCCCAAAACUUGGUUGCUUAAAAAAGCAAUAUUCAUUGAUUAUCUCUCAGAGUCUCUGUGGGUCAGAAAUUCAGGAGUGGCUGUGCAGUUCCAGCUCAAUGUAUCUUCAUGAAAUUGAAGUUAAAUGGUGGCUAGGAUUGGGAUCACCUGAAAGGCUUUCUGGCUUUCACAUCUGAGGCCUGGGCUGCAAAGACUUGAACAGAGGGAGGCUAGAGCAGGUUGGCUCCCCAGGAAUCUCUAGACUUACCCAAAUUCAAGAGGAAGAAACAUAGAUCUCAAUUGUAGAUGAAGGUGUUAGCAUUACAUUGCAGGAAAAGCAUAUGGGACUACUAUGAUCAUUUUUGGCAAAUACUGUCUGCCACUAACUCAUCACUGCAAUGUUGGGAGCACACCUCCUAUUUUCCUUGGCCAUUUCCAGGCCAAUGGGGAACAGCUGAAUUAGGAUCUGAAAAAAGAUGUCUAUUCACUGAUGGGCCAGCUGUCUUGGGCAGCCACUCUCAGAUUACUGAGUCCAUAUUGCCUCUUCAUGCAGAAUCAAAAACCUGUCCUCCUCUGGCUUUUAUCUACACAAAUUUGGUGCUAGCACCCUGUUAUGGACUAAAUGCUUAUGUUCCCCAACUCAUAUGUUGAAACUCUAACCCGAAAUGUGGUGGUAUUUGGAAUCAAAGACUUCGGGAGGUAAAUAGGUUGAGAUUAGGCUAUAGGGGUGUGACUCUCAUAAGGAGAUUAGUGGUGCCCUGAUAAUAGGAAGGGAAAGAACUUGCUUUCUCCACACUCAUUCACAGAGGAAAGGCCACGUAAGCACACAAGGGGACAGAAUGGGGCCUUCACCACGAACAGAAUCUGGGGUCACCUUGAUCUCAGACUUUCCAGCCUCCAGAACUGUAAGAAAUAAAUAAUGGGUUCACAGGUUGUUCAAACCACUCGGUCUCUGGUAUUUUGUUAUAACCACUAGAGCUGACUGAGACACACCUGUACCGUGCUUUAUCUCUGUAAGCCUAUAUACAUGUUGACUAUAUGAACCAAUGGAUCACUCAAUUAAUUAAUACUAUCUAUAUUAAUUUCCUUUGGCUGUCAACAACCAAAAACCAUAAACUGGGUGGCUUAAACAAUAGAAACUUACUUUCUCACAGCUUUGGAGGCUGGAAGUUCAAGAUCAAUGUGUCUGCAGGGCUGGUUUCCACUGAGGCCACUCUCCCAGGCUUGCUGCCUCUUCACACGGUCACCCCUCUGUGCUGUGUGCUCCUGAAAUCUCUCCCACUUCUUACAAGGACACAGCCACAUUAGAGCCCACCCUGAGGGCCUCAUUUUAACCUAAUCAGUUAUUAAAGGUCUUAUUUCUGAAUAUAGUUACAUUAGGAUGUAUUAUGGGUUGAAAUGUUAACAUACACGUCUUUGUUUUUGAAGAAGGGCCCGAUUCAGCCCAUAACACAGUCUAAUAAACCAAAAGGUAAGACUGCUCCUUUAUUCACAUGACUAUCUUGAAAAUGCGUGAAAACAGUUGAUCAAAUUGCUCCCCCUCAACUCCCUGUUCUCUAAGUUCAAAUCAAGGCCCUCGGCACCACUGACCUCCCCUGAAACGAGAGCACCCACCAUUUCAUCCAGGACCCAGACUUGGGUAGAAUAAAGCAAGGCUGUCAUUCCCCUGCCUUUGAAACUCUAUUUCGUAUAAAGCACUUUACUAAUAGUUUCCUAGUUUUGUUUCUCAUUAUCUUUCAUGAAAACUUAAUUGUCCUUAAGCAUACCAGUAUUUUUAUAAUUACAUUAUUUCAGAUUUACAGCCAUUAGGUGAAUUCAAUAUUGUUAUACCCAUGUUAUAGGUAUAGAU